rnacentral:rRNA from 1 species
UACGAAGGGGGCUAGCGUUGUUCGGAAUUACUGGGCGUAAAGCGCACGUAGGCGGAUACUUAAGUCAGGGGUGAAAUCCCAGAGCUCAACUCUGGAACUGCCUCUGAUACAGCAAGUCUUGAGUCCGGAAGAGGUGAGUGGAACUGCGAGUGUAGAGGUGAAAUUCGUAGAUAUUCGCAAGAACACCAGUGGCGAAGGCGGCUCACUGGCCCGAUACUGACGCUGAGGUGCGAAAGCGUGGGGAGCAAACAGG